rnacentral:antisense_RNA from 1 species
CUUGAGCGCCCCGAUCCACAGCGGCCGGUCGCCGGGGCGCUCCCGCCCGUACGCGGCCUGCAGCGCCCGGGCCUC